GACGAACGCUGGCGGCGUGCUUAACACAUGCAAGUCGAACGGUAAGGCCCUUCGGGGUACACGAGUGGCGAACGGGUGAGUAACACGUGGGUGAUCUGCCCUGCACUUCGGGAUAAGCCUGGGAAACUGGGUCUAAUACCGGAUAGGACCACUGCCUGCAUGGGGGGUGGUGGAAAGCUUUUGCGGUGUGGGAUGGGCGCGCGGCCUAUCAGCUUGUUGGUGGGGGGAUGGCCUACCAAGGCGACGACGGGUAGCCGGCCUGAGAGGGUGACCGGCCACACUGGGACUGAGAUACGGCCCAGACUCCUACGGGAGGCAGCAGUGGGGAAUAUUGCUCAAUGGGCGCAAGCCUGAUGCAGCGACGCCGCGUGAGGGAUGACGGCCUUCGGGUUGUAAACCUCUUUCAGCACCGACGAAGCGCAAGUGACGGUAGGUGCAGAAGAAGGACCGGCCAACUACGUGCCAGCAGCCGCAGUAA
rnacentral:rRNA from 1 species